GAUGAACGCUAGCGGCAGGCCUAACACAUGCAAGUCGAGGGGCAGCACAGAAACGGCAAUGUUUUGGUGGCGACCGGCGGACGGGCGCGUAACGCGUAUGCAACCUACCUUUAACAGGGGGAUAACGGAGAGAAAUUUCCACUAAUACCCCAUAACAUCGAUCAAGGCAUCUUGAUUGGUUGAAAACUCCGGGGGUUAAAGAUGGGCAUGCGUUGUAUUAGGUAGUUGGUGAGGUAAUGGCUCACCAAGCCUACGAUACAUAGGGGGACUGAGAGGUUAGCCCCCCACACUGGUACUGAGACACGGACCAGACUCCUACGGGAGGCAGCAGUGAGGAAUAUUGGUCAAUGGGGGCAACCCUGAACCAGCCAUGCCGCGUGCAGGAAGACGGCUCUAUGAGUUGUAAACUGCUUUUAAACAGGGAUAAAGCACAGUAUGUAUACUGUGUUGAAGGUACUGUAAGAAUAAGGAUCGGCUAACUCCGUGCCAGCAGCCGCGGUAA
rnacentral:rRNA from 1 species